rnacentral:rRNA from 1 species
GUGUCAGCCGCCGCGGUAAGACGUAGGGGGCGAGCGUUGUCCGGAUUCACUGGGCGUAAAGCGCGUGUAGGCGGCCUGCUAAGUGGCGUGUGAAAGCCCACCGCUCAACGGUGGGAGGCCGCGCCAUACUGACGGGCUUGAGGGUGGCAGAGGGUGAUGGAAUUCCCGGUGUAGCGGUGAAAUGCGUAGAUAUCGGGAGGAACGCCAGUGGCGAAGGCGGUCACCUGGGCCAUCCCUAACGCUGAGACGCGAAAGCUGGGGGAGCGAACGGGAUUAGAUACCCGCGUAGUCC